UCGAGAAUUUUGGGCAAUGGGCGAAAGCCUGACCCAGCAACGCCGCGUGAAGGAUGAAGUAUUUCGGUAUGUAAACUUCGAAAGAAUAGGAAGAAUAAAUGACGGUACUAUUUAUAAGGUCCGGCUAACUACGUGCCAGCAGCCGCGGUAAUACGUAGGGACCAAGCGUUGUUCGGAUUUACUGGGCGUAAAGGGCGCGUAGGCGGCUCUGUAAGUCACUUGUGAAAUCUCUGAGCUUAACUCAGAACGGCCAAGUGAUACUGCAGAGCUAGAGUGUAGAAGGGGCAAUCGGAAUUCUUGGUGUAGCGGUGAAAUGCGUAGAUAUCAAGAGGAACACCUGAGGUGAAGACGGGUUGCUGGUCUAACACUGACGCUGAGGCGCGAAAGCCAGGGGAGCAAACGGGAUUAGAUACCCCCGUAGUCCCUGAGCGGGCUGGCAAGGCGCAU
rnacentral:rRNA from 1 species